GCAAGGCACAUUGGCAUGUGCCUGUAGUUCCAGCUACUCAGGAGGCUAAGGUGGGAGGAUCCCUUGAGCCCAGGAGUUCUGAGCUGUGGUUUGCUAUGUCAUUUAGGUGUCUACAAUACAGUUUACUUCCUGGGUGCAGGGGACCACCAGAUUGUCUAAUGAGGGGUGAGCCGGCUCAAGUCAGAAACUCCCAUUAAAGCAGGUUAAAACUCCCGUGCUGAUCAGGAAUGGGAUUGCACCUGUGAAUAGCCACUGCAUUUCAGCCUGGGCAACAUAGUGAAACCCCAUCUGUA
ensembl:misc_RNA Metazoa_SRP Metazoan signal recognition particle RNA